CUGAGCACAGCAGGCAGCUGAGUGUUGGCAACAGCCCCAGGCAGGGCAAGCCUGGAUGACUAACCAUGUCCAGGAUCCUGGGCAAAAUGACAUGAGGCAAGAGACAGAGCUGGAGACAUGCUACAACAUGGAUCUGAGUGGUCUAUCCAGAAGAAAAUUACAGUAUAGGUCUAAGAUCCAUCUGGAAAGCAAGGGUCGAGGAUGGGACCGGAGCCUAGGGCUGGAGGCAUAGGGCUGAGCUGAAAUGGUCUGUAGGGACCCACUGCUGGAAGACAGAUAGUAUGAGUCUUCCUUCCUUUGAUCAACACCAGCUGGGCUUUACUUCACCUACAAGCCAGAUACUUCAGAGAAAAAGAUGAUCCUUCCCAUUUUGCCAUGAUGCAGGAAAAGUAGAGAGCUGCAGAAUCACAGCCUCAUAUAUUCAUUUAGGUUGGAAGUGACAGUCUGACCCCUCUGUUCAAUGCAGAUCUACAGUGUGAUGUCCUCAUCCAGUCAAGACCUGAAAACCUUCAAGAAGGGAAAACUCACAGCCUCUCUGGACACCUGUUCUACACCCCUGAGUACAACUUGGAUCCACAUUCUCUGCAUCCACCAGGCUGUGCAGACCACAAAGGCCGCCCCUUUGCUUGCUCUUCUCUCUAUGGUACCAAUCCACCAGAAAAGGACUGACUAGAAUUUUCUUGAAGAAAUCCAUGUUGAAGCUCUUCACCUUCGUGAGACACAGCCUUCUUUACCUGAGGACAUGUCACUUCACUACGAAGAGCAAACACAGCACAAAGCACUAGCGCUGUCGCCGAACAGGGGACAAGUGCUGCGGUUUGGGUCUUGUGCUCCCACCCCUCACCCACAGAGCCCUAUAACUUUCAGGCUGCACACCCCUCCCACAGGCCACAUCCGCCUGGCUUCCACCCCGCAGGGUCCCCUCGGAGACAGUAUGGCUACCCAGUGCCUUUGCCUCCUGAUUCUCACCUCCCUGCUGGCCCUGGCAGCACCUCUUGUCUUUGACAUAAAAAACUUGCAUCUCUUAAAUGGAACGAUGGAUGAAAUUAUGAAUAUUCACCCUGAGCCCGUCCAGCCUGAUGAGGGGGACCACCACGUUCGACAGGUCAGAGAUAUUGCCCGCGCCCACCAGCGGCUCAUGGUAAGUCUGUGCAAGAAGUACAUCUUCUCACAAGAUUUCACCUUUGCUAAUAGCCCAGAGGCUCAUGGAGAGCUCUUGGCCCUUUGUAUGCACUCGUUCCUCCAGAAACAACAGAGGUGCCACAGCUCAUCAUCCUGGAUAGACCCUAGCACCAGCCACGUUCUCCACUUAAUAUGUGCUGAGAGAAUUUUCUACCUGAAGAUCUAAACUGGAAAUUGAUGAUUCAUUAUCUGCCUUCAGGUUGUGGUGGCUGAUUAUUACCUGAUUUUGGCUGUGCAGUUGAUGACAAGGCUGGUUAAGACAGAGAGUAACUGAAUAACUGAGCUGGCUGAGUCAGCGCAAGCUCUAUGGCCACAUGGCACGGCUUCUUUGGGUGCAA
ensembl:lncRNA